rnacentral:tRNA from 1 species
AGUCAAUUAUCUUAAGAAAAGAGUAUAUUUUGAAAAUAUAAUUUAAAAUCUAAAAAUUUUAUUGGCUU